rnacentral:lncRNA from 1 species
CGGUACAGAGUUCCCUUCUAUGGGUCUAGUUUUCUUUGUCAAGGUCUGAUUGUCUAAGGUGCCAAGUUUCAUCGCUUGGCUUGGAUCUGCCUGCAGAUCAUCAAUUGCAAAAUCAGAACGAUUUCCCUCGUGAAGCAGAAGCUGCUCAUCUUUGUCUCGAGGAAAGACUACAACUUACAAUUCUGUCUUACCCUUUAGGGAAAACUGUCUUGCAUAGCUGUUGUGUAUAUAGCUGUAGGGCAGGGAGGCAAUCGAGUUUGACUUUGGCAGCAGCAAUGUAAUGGAAGGAAUUGUAUUUAUGCCUCUCUUAUGACAGUCAAUAGACAUCUUGAAAUAAAUUGGACUUGUGGAUACCUUGAUGAACCAGGAUACUGUAUUUCAAAUCUGAAAAUUCUUUUACAUCUAUAGUAUUGUGCUUCCUUUCCUUGUCCUAUGCCCUUUCUAAGCUUUUUUAUUUCAGCCUUUUGUUAGGGCUUUUUCUCACACAGAGAGUUUUUGUUCAAGUCUUGGCAGAGAUGUAGAUGAGCAGAGAUUGCCAAUUUUCAUCUGAACCUUGCUUUAUAAUGUUGAUUCUCUCUGCUACUGGGUGAGCUUUAGUUGUCAUAUAAAGUUUUGGGGAAUGGAAUGAAAAAUUGAUUUUCCUUUAGCGUCUCUGCAAUAAUAAUUUAAACAUCACUCUUUUCCUUUUGACAGCGCACAGAAAAAGUGAAGGGAGUUCAUCUCUCCUCCUUGCGAUUAAUGCCUGUUUUAUGUGUCGUUGUGUUUCGUGCCUUCGCUGGAGAUCAGCUGCUGCUCCGAAAACGAGCCAAAGCUAGUAUCAGUAUCUUCAAAUAUGAGAGUGAAUCAGCAUUCUACUUUGAGCCUCUAAUUUGGUUAUACCCACAGCUAAUUCUGAGAUGGCUGCUGCAGUGGUAGGUUGGAAGUGUUUCAAUUUCCUGAAAUUACACGAAGACAUUAAUUCAUAAUUCUGACCUCAACAAUAAAUGUUUCUUUUGUUAUGGUUGUCGGGGGCGG